UCGAAUCCUGCACAAGCGGAACGACCAGAGANCUAGUUAU
rnacentral:rRNA from 1 species